rnacentral:rRNA from 1 species
UACAGAGGGGGCCAGCGUUAUUCGGAAUUAUUGGGCGUAAAGGGCGCGUAGGCGGCCAUGCGUGUCUUCCGUGAAAUCCCUCGGCUUAACCGGGGAACUGCGUCUGAUACUGGAUGGCUUGAGUUCGGGAGAGGGAUGCGGAAUUCCAGGUGUAGCGGUGAAAUGCGUAGAUAUCUGGAGGAACACCGGUGGCGAAGGCGGCAUCCUGGACCGAUACUGACGCUGAGGAGCGAAAGCCAGGGGAGCAAACGGG